rnacentral:rRNA from 1 species
GACCCGUGAUCCGGGUUGCGGACAGUGUCUGGUGGGUAGUUUGACUGGGGCGGUCUCCUCCUAAAGAGUAACGGAGGAGCACGAAGGUUGGCUAAUCCUGGUCGGACAUCAGGAGGUUAGUGCAAUGGCAUAAGCCAGCUUGACUGCGAGCGUGACGGCGCGAGCAGGUGCGAAAGCAGGUCAUAGUGAUCCGGUGGUUCUGAAUGGAAGGGCCAUCGCUCAACGGAUAAAAGGUACUCCGGGGAUAACAGGCUGAUACCGCCCAAGAGUUCAUAUCGACGGCGGUGUUUGGCACCUCGAUGUCGGCUCAUCACAUCCUGGGGCUGAAGUAGGUCCCAAGGGUAUGGCUGUUCGCCAUUUAAAGUGGUACGCGAGCUGGGUUUAGAACGUCGUGAGACAGUUCGGUCCCUAUCUGCCGUGGGCGCUGGAGAACUGAGGGGGGCUGCUCCUAGUACGAGAGGACCGGAGUGGACGCAUCACUGGUGUUCGGGUUGUCAUGCCAAUGGCACUGCCCGGUAGCUAAAUGCGGAAGAGAUAAGUGCUGAAAGCAUCUAAGCACGAAACUUGCCCCGAGAUGAGUUCUCCCUGAGACUUUAGGUCUCCUGAAGGAACGUUGAAGACGACGACGUUGAUAGGCCGGGUGUGUAAGCGCAGCGAUGCGUUGAGCUAACCGGUACUAAUGAACCGUGAGGCUUAACCUUACAACGCCGAAG